GGGAAAAAGAAAACAACCAAAAUUUUUGCAAGGAAGCCAUUCUCAGCAGUUGACAGAUUAGAAUUGCUGCCAACAAUACAGGGAAAAAAAAUAGCAGACCAAUGUCCACACAAGAUGAGACCUACGAGGACACAUUCACAAACAACACAGUUAUCAACUCUUACAGCUUACAAAAACAUCCACAAUCUAACUACAUCAGUUAACUGCAUUUAUGUCAGCUAUCUUUUAGGCAAUGAGAGAAUGGCAGCACAAAAUGUUUUUUUUUUUUUU
rnacentral:misc_RNA from 1 species